rnacentral:lncRNA from 12 species
CUCAUUCCCUCCCCCCUCGCCCCUCUCCCCCCCUCUCCCCUUCUUUCCCUUUCCCCCUCUGCGUGUCUCUCUGCGUCUCUUUCCCCGCCCCCCCCCCCCCAGCUCUCUCCUCCGCCCAUCUCUCCCUCCCACCUGCCCCUCCUCUUCCUAUUCCAGAGUAAGGCCUCUCUAUACAAGUUUCUAGAAUGGUGCUGUCCAGGAGCGGUAGCCGCUAGCCACAGACGGCCAUUCAUACUUAAAUGUAAGUUGAUUGAGUGACAUCACAUUUAAAACUUAGGAGUCACUUCCUCAGCCCCACUAGCCACAGAGGCCCACCAGCCCCGUGUGACUCGGGGUUACCAUAUGGGACGGCGCAGAAAUAGAAAUAUUUCCAUUAUUGUAGAAAGUUCUGCAGAACAACGCCGUUAUACAAAGUCCAGCGUUGUCAUUUGAUAGAGAAUUGUAAAAAUUCAGAGGAAAGAUUGUUUGGAGUCUGUUCUGCUACCAUCAGAGGAGCUGCUGGUCAAGGUUUUCCAGAGCAGUUUUGCCCAGAGACUCCCUCCUCCCACUGCCGGGGGGUGGUGGUGCAUUUUAGAAAGAAGAGUCGACGGGGUGUCAGAUAGACCUGAGUGUGAACCCCAGCUCUGCCACUUAAGUCUCUCUGGACCUCAGUUUCCCAUCAGUCAAAUGAUGCUUCUAGACUUUUCCAGUUUUACCAGGUCAGCGCUUGAGGAGAGCGGCUGUCAAACCAGGAGGGAGCCCCUGGCCGUGACCCCCCUCCCCCUAUGGUGUCUGCAACCACAGGGCCGCAAGCCACACACCCUGGCUCUCUCUCCACCCCAGCUUAUCCCCAGAGCCCCUCGAGACGUCGCCUGGCUCCCACAUACCACUCAGAAAUAAAAAAUAAGUCUUUGGUCAUGGAAGAGUGAAGGCCGGUUGAGACUCCACUACAUAAAAUGCUGCUGUCCCUAAUCCUCUGCGGCUGGUACCCCAAGCACCUCGACACCGGUGAUAGGAGAAGGAAGUCAAACCCACAUACAGUCUCACAAGGGGUUUUGCUCUACGUGCAGAGUCUGGAGCCAGAGAGCUUAGUUCUAAAUUCUGACUCUGCGGCCUUCUAGCCAUGUGACCUGGGGUAAGUCACUCAACCUCUGUUUCAUACUCUGUAAAAUGGAAAUGAUAGUACCUCAGGGUUGUGAGGAUUAACUGACAUUUUAAAAAAGAUUUUGCUUAUUUAUUUGAGAGAGAGAGAAUAUAUGUGCACAAGCAGAGGAGAAGGGCAGAGGGAAAGGGAGAAGGAGGAAGCAGUUUCCCCACUGGGCACGGAGCCCGACGUGCUGCUGAUCUCAUGACCCUGAGAUCACGACCUGAGUUGAAACCAAGAGUUCGACGCUCAACCAACUGAGCCGCCCAGGGAUCCUGAGGAUCAAGUGGUUGAAUUAUACAGAACGUAUUGAACAUCAGCACCCUGGCACCGAAUGUGAGCUGAAUAGGUUUCAUCUACUACUUAAACCACUAUCAAGGUCUGCAUUAAGUGCGAAACACUAUAGGAAUUUGACUCCUAUAAACAGGAGAGCAAAACUGAAUUUCUCUUUCACUUUCUCCUGUGACUCGUGAAGAUAUAAUAAUACCUUACUUACUCUCUGGAAAUGGCUCUUUUUUAGCAUUUCAGCAUAACCCGAGAGGUGAGAUUUCAUAAUUGGAGAGUGCUAGAUGUAUUCUAAACCCACUAAUCACGGUUACAGACCCGAAUCCUCUACAGCCGUCGUAUAAGCCAAUAGCAGAAGGGGGGCUGUGUAGUUGGGCAUAUUCACAAUGUAUGGUUUGCACCGGGCACGUCAGGAAACGGACCAUAAAUUAGCCUUUCUGAUCCAGAAUUUCAAGCUAUGUGCCUCCCCAA